rnacentral:miRNA from 1 species
GUUUAGCUUGAAGUUGUUGUUGGU